rnacentral:rRNA from 1 species
UUUCCGGUUGAUCCUGCCGGAGGUUACUGCUAUCGGUGUUCGCCUAAGCCAUGCGAGUCAUAUGUAGCAAUACAUGGCGUGCUGCUCAGUAACACGUGGAUAACCUGCCCUUGGGACCGGCAUAACCCCGGGAAACUGGGGAUAAUUCCGGAUAACGCAUAUUUGCUGGAAUGCUUUAUGCGUCAAAAGGAUUCGUCUGCCCAAGGAUGGGUCUGCGGCCUAUCAGGUAGUAGUGGGUGUAAUGUACCUACUAGCCAGCGACGGGUACGGGUUGUGAGAGCAAGAGCCCGGAGAUGGAUUCUGAGACAUGAAUCCAGGCCCUACGGGGCGCAGCAGGCGCGAAAACUUUACAAUGCGGGAAACCGUGAUAAGGGGACACCGAGUGCCAGCAUCAUAUGCUGGCUGUCCGGAUGUGUAAAAUACAUCCGUUAGCAAGGGCCGGGCAAGACCGGUGCCAGCCGCCGCGGUAACACCGGCGGCCCGAGUGGCGAUCGUGAUUAUUGGGUCUAAAGGGUCCGUAGCCGGUUUGGUUAGUCCUCCGGGAAAUCUGAUAGCUCAACUAUUAGGCUUUCGGGGGAUACUGCCAGACUUGGAACCGGGAGAGGUAAGAGGUACUACAGGGGUAGGAGUGAAAUCUUGUAAUCCCUGUGGGACCACCUGUGGCGAAGGCGUCUUACCAGAGCGGGUUCGACGGUGAGGGACGAAAGCUGGGGGCACGAACCGGAUUAGAUACCCGGGUAGUCCCAGCCGUAAACGAUGCUCGCUAGGUGUCAGGCAUGGCGCGACCGUGUCUGGUGCCGCAGGGAAGCCGUGAAGCGAGCCACCUGGGAAGUACGGCCGCAAGGCUGAAACUUAAAGGAAUUGGCGGGGGAGCACAACAACGGGUGGAGCCUGCGGUUUAAUUGGAUUCAACGCCGGA